rnacentral:rRNA from 1 species
AAACUUUCAACAAUGGAUCUCUUGGCUCUCGCAUCGAUGAAGAACGCAGCGAAAUGCGAUAGGUAAUAUGAAUUGCAGAAUUCCGUGAAUCAUCAAAUUUUUGAACGCAAAUUGCACUUCUUGGUAUUCCGAGAAGUACACAUGCUUGAGGGUCAGU